rnacentral:rRNA from 1 species
CUACGGGAGGCAGCAGUGGGGAAUAUUGGACAAUGGGCGAAAGCCUGAUCCAGCCAUGCCGCGUGUGUGAAGAAGGUCUUCGGAUUGUAAAGCACUUUAAGUUGGGAGGGAGGGUUGUAGCUUAAUACGCUGCAACCUUGACGUUACCAACAGAAUAAGCACCGGCUAACUCUGUGCCAGCAGCCGCGGUAAUA